CAUGUAUUUUUAUUUUAUUCUAUUUAUUUUAUUUAUUUUAAUUUAUUUAUUUUUGGCUGUGUUGGGUCUUCAUUGCUGAGUGCAGGCUUUCUCUAGUUGCAGAGAGCAGGGGCUACUCUUCGUUGCAGUGCGCGGGCUUCUCAUUGCAGUGGCUUCUCUUAUUGCAGAGCAUGGGCUCUAGGCGCAUGGACUUCAGUAGUUGUGGCGUACGGGCUUAGUUGCUCCGCAGCAUGUGGUAUCUUACCAGCCCAGGUCCCCUGUGGAUUGUUAACCACUGUGCCACCAGGGAAGUCCCGAAAACUGAUAUAUUUUUUUAAAUUUCCUGCUAAAACAGCUCUUUUCUGAGGCUUUUCUUUUAAGAAUUUUGCAAUUUAGAAUUACUCUGUUAUCAUCUGGGCUUUCUCUUUUACUCUGGUGGCCACAGCUCAAGUGUUGGAGACCAACGACAUCAGAACUAUCUCAGUAGUCUAAAGAGUACUGUAGGAAUUAAAAGCAUAAAUGACCAACAUCAGAAUCUUCCCAGGGAUUUCCCUGGUGGUCCAGUGGGUAAGACUCCUUGGUCCCAAUGCAGGCGGCCCACGUUCGAACCCUGGGCUGGGAACCAGAUCCCACAUGCAUGCUUCAACUAAGACCCGGCACAGCCAAAAUAAAUAAAUAAUAAAAUAAAGUAAGUAAAUUUUUAAAAACUAGAAAAAGAUUAACAAGACUUGAUCUAUUUAAAAAAAAAAAAAAAAAAGAAUCCAGAUUUGGCAGAGACAAUUUGAGAACAGGAGAUUCCAAUCCCUAGGGCAAGGAAAAAAAAUGCAAAAUUAAAAAGAUAAGACAGGGCAACAGAUGGCAAAUUCCUAUGGCUUCCCACUUUUGCCUGCAAUUGACUGAAAAAAAAUUUUUUUUCAGAGAUGAUUUAGAAGUUGUGCUGUUUUAUUUUUAGGUAACAGUGAGAAAUUGCCUCAAAGUGUACGUGCCAACAUCGCUUUCCUGGUUCUGUGGCACUUCCUUAGAGAAGAACUUCAUUUCUACAGGAGCUGGUGAUUGAGGUGAAUCCUGUAAUAUAAAUAGGUUCACAGGAUACAUCCCCAGGGGUGAUUGACUAUGACCAGGACCUCCUGAGCUUUCAAUGCUUCCCUUGAAAUUUGCUUCCACAUGCAGACAGCGGCACAGGCGGAUGUGGAUCUGGGUCUUCUCCCCAGAGAAGGGAGCACUGAACACUUCAGCUUACAUAUCUCCUCGGGGCUCCUUAGUGGGAGCGGGGGGAGGGGGGGAAGCUGCUGCUGUGCAGUACUCCCUUUGUGGGGAAACCUGGAGUAGUCAGAACUUGGGAUGUCAGGGGAAACCUGGCUGACACACCACAGUAGGUCCCCAGGUUCCCAAGUACAGAGGCCUCUCCAUUUCCCUCCGAUGUCUUGGACUGGGCAGAGGGUGCAAGGACAGGGCCUCUCAGAGCUGUGCUUCCCAACAAGGGAAGAGCCAGGGUGGACGGACUCUGUCUAGGAAUGAUAGGCACUGGCAGAAACUGGACACGUGCCACCGUGCUAAAAAUGGGUCUCAUUCCAUCUGGCGCUCCAAAAACAAUGGAAGGCCACAAAGCUAUCAAGUGCGCUGCCUUCCUGUCAUAAGUGUUCUCUGGUCGCUCUUUUAGUCUUUGAAUUGGCUGUAAGUAGAAGGACAGAGAGAUGAAGUUAGAGAAAGCACUUCCUGGCUGGAGUAUACAGGCAGCGCCAUGCUAAUUGACAGUUUUGGCCUAAAAGAACCUCUUUUUUUGUUUGUUUUUUUGAGGGAGCAGUGCACAUAUGACUUCUGUAGGAGAUAAAGGGAGCAUCUGAGGCUGGGGUGACAUGCAAUAGCCAGAACCAACCUUGGCCUUCUUAUCCCAGCUUCCUCCUCUGCUGGGACCUCAGAGACGGUGCAAGUUGGUCUGCGAGCCCAUGUGCAAAAUUACCCCUGACACCACCCCACGCCCCUUCAGCCAGACCCCAGGAGCAAGCCAGGUUUCAACUUUGACUUUUAUCUCCUCCCCCACAAAACACACACCUUUUCGGCUAUGUGUGUAUAUUGGCUAAAAUUCCCCCCUUUUUUUUUUUCUAACUUCAGAGGAUUUCCACUUAAAUCUUCACAUUAGGCCCUUUGUGACAUCCUGUAAUGUUCCAAAAUGUUUUUAGUCCCUUGGAUGAAUUAAGUGAAUAAUAAUGCCAAAAGUAUCUCAUGAAAAAAAUGUAUAAAUAGAAAGCAUCGCUCUGAAUAUAAAAUUAUCAAAAUCAGUGGUUAAAACAGUAUGCUCUCAUUUCUGAUACCAGCCCUAUGAAGAAGGCAUACAGGAAGCACAGAUGUCCUUUGUUCCUGAAGCCAUAACUGGGCUGCUAUGAACUAAGGCCUUUGCAGAUAUAAUUGAGGAUCUCCAGAUGAGUUCAUCCUGGAUUUAACCCAAUAAGAGAGUUUUAAGACACAGAGAAACAGGGGAGAAGGCCUUGCAAGGAUGGGGGCAAAAACUGGAAUUAUGCUGCCGCCAGCCAAGGAACUGCAAGAGCCAAUAGAAGCUGGAGGAGGCAAGGAAGGAUUCUCCCUGAAAGCCUUUGGAGAACGCAUUGCCCUGCUGACACCGUGACUUCUGACUUGUGGACUCUGGGAAUAAACUUCUAUCGUUUUAAGUCACCAGGGACUUCCCUGGUGGCGCAGUGAGUUAGGGCUCUGCGCUCCCCACGCAGGGAGCCUGGGUUCAAUCCCUGUUCAGGAAACUAGAUCCCAUAUGCAUGCCACAACCAAGAGUUCACAUGCCACAACUAAGGAGGCUGCCUGCCGCAACUAAGACCUGGUGCAACCAAAUAAGUACAUCUAGAUACCCUGGAAGGGGAAGAAGUGGGAACACACCAGUGACUACUACCAUUUGAGAUGUGAGAACUCCAUGGAGAAAGACCAGAAGACUCACACGCUGCGCCAUGCUGAGGUGCAGAAGGCACAAGUGAAACUUUUUUAUUUAUAUAAAUAAACAUGUACGUGCAUAUCCAUAGAUGAUGUCUUGAUCAUUCAGCCUUUCCUUCAUUUAUUAAACACCCACUGUGUACCAUGGGAGGUAGAGCACAGAGGUGCUGGAGCAGAUGGGACUUGGAAUACUGACUUUGACACUUUCUAGCUGUGUGACCUGGGACAAAUUAUUUAACCUCUUCAUGCCUCAUUUUCCUCAUCUAUAAAAUGGUGAUAAUAUUAAAAGCUAUUUCACGCUUCCUUGAUAGCACAGUGGUUAAGAAUCCGCCUGCCAAUGCAGGGGACACGGGGUCGAGCCCUGGUCCGGGAAGAUCCCACAUGCUGUGGGGCAAC